rnacentral:rRNA from 1 species
UACGAAGGGGGCUAGCGUUGCUCGGAAUCACUGGGCGUAAAGCGCACGUAGGCGGAUCGUUAAGUCAGGGGUGAAAUCCUGGAGCUCAACUCCAGAACUGCCUUUGAUACUGAGAAGCUUGAGUCCGGGAGAGGUGAGUGGAACUGCGAGUGUAGAGGUGAAAUUCGUAGAUAUUCGCAAGAACACCAGUGGCGAAGGCGGCUCACUGGCCCGGUACUGACGCUGAGGUGCGAAAGCGUGGGGAGCAAACAGGG